CAUAUAGCAAGACAAAAGAGGAAAUGCAAUUUCAAACCUAUCGCCUUUGCAGACUCUUUUAAAAUGCAGGCAAUUAAAGGCACACCUAGUAACUGUAGGUGGCCAGAUACUACAGUGAGCGGCAUUUAAAAAUACAGGUCUUGCCUUAAUAGACUUUUAGAAAAAAAAUUCUGAUGAUCCAGAAAAAUCCGUUGGUGUCCAAAACAAAGACAGCCUGCAAGAAAGAAAAGAUCACGGUGUUCAUGCCAAGCAAUACAGAACUUGUAUGCUUAUGUUUAUAAUUUCAGAGGAAAAUAUGAGUCUGCUGUUCCUCCACUCUGUCUACUAUCAGAUUAUAGCAACAGAAUAGACACUCAAUAUGGAAGAAGAAUGCAACAUGCGUGUGUGUGCUCCCAAGCAGAACCAAAGCUGUUAGAGCUAGCAUCUCUUUAAAUAAUAAUCUGCGUGGUAAUACAGUCCUGGGCUUUUCAGAUGUUGGAUAGUGAUUUGAAUCCAGUGUGCCUGGAUCCAGCAAAAGGCACUAGCCUUGAAAUUUGUUUGAUCAAAACAAAACUAAUUUGAACCUUGUACAAAAUAAAUCGUUUUCAACCAAUUUCUGAUAAGUAAAAUUGCAAAUCACAGAAAUUACUGUCUCGGCUCCUACUCUUGAAGGCAGUCAGGCACUGAAGUGCUAUCACUCAAGUGAUAGCCCCUGUCAUGUCAAAAAUAAUGUUGCUGAGGAUGAGGUUUGCGUUGCCAUGCCAGUAUGUCUUUUUGCUGCAUUUAGUAAGGAGUAUCGGGCUGUGUAAAUACUAGUCUUAAUCACAAAAUAAAUUCAGUAAAAGUAAACUACGUUAUCAUAAUAUAUGUGCUGUAGGAGACAGAGCUGAAUCUUGAUGUAAAAUGAUGAAUCAUAACAACCUUAAAAGGUAUUUGGAUCACAGGAUUGCGAGGGAUGUCUGAUGAAACAUCGCGUGGAAAGUACUGGUAUCUUUCAAAACAGUGCAGUACUUACAUACAGUAUGGUUCCAAUUUGGUAUAGGUAUAAACUGAUUUUUUGAAAUGUAUGGAUUAACAACAAAAGUAUGAAAACAAUGUGUUUACAUUAAAAUUCCGCACUGACAGUCAUACAACAGUGUGAGAAGAGGGGAUUGCUCGCCAAUACUGAUGUGCGAGACGUUCGACCUGGUGAUGCAAGAGCCUAGUUUUAUUUCCCCUAACGAGAGAAACUGUGAAAAUUUAACCUCAGAUUUUUGUCAAUGAUAACACGAAGAAUCAAACCUGUUUUGCUCUGUUUACCUUCUGGGAUAGGUAAAGAUACCUGUUUAAAUCAAAGACAAAUACGUAGGUGAUAGGCACUCAGAAAGACGCACGGUUUCAGUCAGCUAGUUAUCAGUAACAGACAUCUCACCUGGUCAGGAUUUAGGAAUCUGCAAAAACUUGGACACGUCAGGUUUUGGUAACAUGAGGUAUUUAUUUUGUUAAUAGAGCAACGCUCAUAGACACUGCAGUCUGAAAAUCUGAAAAUAAACAUGUGUUCGUUCUGCACUUGGCCAGGAUGGGCUGUGGAAGCCUAGCAUGAAACACAUAAAGAGCAGUUCAAGACUGACUGUCAGGAUGAAGAGAGCUGUAUUACAAACCUAAAAUAAUGAUUUUUGGAUAGCCUUCCAGCUGCUUUCUUUGUCAUUUCCUCUCCAGAAUUUUCUUAUUAGUUCUUGGAAUCACUUGGGAACUGCAAAUCUUAAAUAUCAAAAGAUCUUUAAGAACAAAGGCAUAUGUAUAGGUAGAAGGUCAUCCAUGUGAUAGGAUGUUAUCAUUGUAGAUCCUUCUUCACUUCAGUCUCUGGAAUUCAUAUGUCUAAAAUCUGUGGUCCAAAUGCAUUCUUGAAAACUGUUUGCAAUUAGACGAGUGCUUCUCUGUUACUGUUACAAAAAUAAAUAUUCCACGUUACAUAUUAAAAGAAUAUUGCCCUUCAGACAGGGACACAAUUUUUUCACUUUAAACGAUGUGAAUUUGGCUUUGUCUUUUUCCAGAACUGUUUUACCUGAAAACACAUUCUUUUGAUUAUACAUUAAUUGAGCUAUUAGUUAGACAUGUCAUGGGUUGUAUUAUGUUUUAAAUGUAAGCAUAAUUAAUUCAAUAAGGCAGAAUCAAUCAAUGUGGGAGGGAAGGUGUUUUGCACAAAUUUCUCCUCAUGAAGCACUGAUAUGAAAAAGGAAGAAGUAUUCAUCAUCACCGCAAGUCCCGGGCAACCUUCAGCCCGAAGGGCGUGAUGUGGGACUGAGCAUGGGGCAGGACAGGAGAGACUCCAGAGAGUGCCAGCUCAAUGUGCAGAGCACAGGCAGGAGGAAACAGGAAACUCUUCCCACAGUGAAGCACUUGGUGUAUUCCAGGGUUCCUUCUUGGUCUCUGCCGACCAGAUUUUUCUUUACCCUUGUGCACGCAGACAGCGAGGAAGGAGGACAUAAGAGCUGUCUGUACCUGUGACGUGCCUUAGGCAGCUGCUGUGGGAUGCAAACGGAUUCCUUAAUGAGCUGUGCAGUAGGGACCACAACUGCAUCUUGCCAAAGGCUGUAGUAAGGGGAGUAUUUUGCCUGAUUUUACAAGUGCUCUAGGAGACAUUUUGCAGUCAAGAACCAAAUUUCCUAUAUUGAUUUUUCUUUUCUUUCUAUGCCUUGUUUUUUUUGUUGUUGUUGUUGUUUUUUUGGGGGGAAAGCUAGUAAUGUGUUUUCCCCUAAAUGCAAGCAAAUAAAAUCUAUAAAGUUCUCAUUUGCUCUGACAAGAUUAGGUGUUUAGUGUUAGAGUCUAGUGCUGAUUUUAAAAAUGACAUUCAGAAUUAACUGCCACUCUGCAGUGCCAAAUGAUCUGCAAGGAAACUUUACUUAUCAGCUUCUCUCUGAGAAUAUUUGUAAUACAUUGACAUAUGUCUGUGGUUCUCUACCUUUCAUUGUAGGAGGGGUUUGUUAGUCUCUUUUACAAGUUUGAGUAAUCCUUAGAUCCAAAACCAUAUCGUAACUUUUCUCUAACAUAUCAUUAACUUUUCUCCUAUUGAUGCUGAGGCUUCAUCUCUUCAAGCCUUUUUAACAAAUAAUUCACUUCUUGACCACUGUCCUUUUCAGCUACAGAAACUGAAUGCUAAAAUAGAAAAUGGUCUUUAGCCUGCUGUUAAACAAGGAGAACUAUUUAUAGUACAGAAAAAAGUCUGUCGUAAUAUAACUGUCCUCAAGAGGUGUGGAUUCAGGCAGUUUUGUUGCUGGCAGUGUUGGGUAGUGUUGAUAUUUACAAAGAGGGACAUUUACAGAACUGAAAACAUUGUUUUCCAAGGUUGUUAGAAUGAAAGAGAUCUGAAUCCUACACAAAACAAAUGAACCAAGUAAUUAUAAUUAACCACGAAUGCCUCACCAGUAAAUAAGAAGAAAUGCAGCAAAAUACUCCCCCUUACCUCUUUUUUCCAUACUCUCAUACAAACAAUGUAAUACAGGUCUACUAGAUCAAAAAGAAAAGGAUACGCUUGUAUUUCAGUCACAGCAGUCACCUAAUCUAAAAAUGUGUAAUGAAAUUUAAAGCAUAGAAAUUAAGCUUUUCUCCCUCAGUCCUGAAGAUACCUGAAUAUGCACGGGAACUUGAACAAGUUUAAAAAAAAACAUCACGUGCAACUAAAAGCAACUCCCAGCAAACAAUCUAUAACUUCCUUUGCUUCUAGUGAGAAAUGGCCUGUGUCUGCACAUUUCAGGAUUUGGCAGCUAUACCUAAUUCAGUUCAAACUCCCACUGACAUCAGCAAAACAUUACCUGAUUAAGAAUGCAGGAUUGGAUCUAAGAUACUAGCAUAUUAAAAUGCCAUUAUAAAUUCAAAAGCUACUACCCAAAAUAUAAAAUGUUCAAAGCAAUUGAACAGCUCAGUGUACACGUUCAAAAUGCUAAACAAUGUAGCUAUUGCACGUGUGGCCAUCAGGAAACGCAGCUGUGCUUCUUUGUGUUACAAUUAAUUGCUUCCGUUGUAUAUAAAAUUGAAAGUAUUGGUACGCUGGGGCGGAAAAAGGAUAUCCUGAUACACUGCUCCUGUUUCCUUAGGAAGGCCUAUUACUGAACCUUUCACCAUUAAUUCAGUUACAAUGAAUUAUCCUGUGAUGAAUAAAGGAAGGGUAAAUUGGGUGGUUAAUCGUAAUGUUAAUGGCACUUUCUCUCUACGUUUUCACACACAUUUAUAUCUAACUUUAUUCUUUUCACAUGUGCCCUCUUUGAUAGCAAUGGUUCAACUUUAAGUAGUGGAACUUAAUAAUGAAAAGCCCAAACCAAACAUUCGGCUUGAAGAUUGUUCCUUUUUCUUUUAAUGUUACUAGAUCAGAAGAAACCAGAAGACUUUGUCACUGUUCGUUAGCAGGAUGAGUAAAAAUCUUCUCAGCUUAAGUUUUUGUGGCCAGAUUCUCUGAAGCUGGCACACAGAGAUGUAAUUUAUAUCCUUCUGUGCCAAUAAAGUUCCUGAAGCUGCAGGGGGAUGGGAUGAGGAGUCUUACCCAGAGUUAGGAAGCAGUAGUAACAGCCCAGCAUUUCUGUUACGCACUUUUUUUUUUUUUUUUGGUGAGAACUGUGGGAGAGCAAAGACUGUUUGAGGUUGUACAAAAUAGUGCAAAUCUUGUCCCUUGUUAUAUAUGCUGCCCCCAGAAUUUAAUAUCUACUUUUUAGUAACACUGAACUUUUCUUCUUAGGGAGCUUCCAGACGGAGAGCAGCUUCUGUGAUGGCUUAGAAAAUCAGUGAAGUCUCCAACAGCCACAGAUUCAGAAUGCUCUAAAGCUCAGAGGAAUUACUUGAGAAGACACAUUUCAAGCUUGUUCUGGAGUAGCACUAUCUAAGUCACCGGGACUGGAGAGGACUCAGCACUACACAGGAAGCACUGAGUACACUUUGGGUUAAAUUGCCUCUUUUCCUUCCAUCUACUGGCAGUGUAGAGACUGCAGUUCUGUACUUUUUAGAAGGCUGCUGACUUGCAGUAUGGACAAUUUUAUCAAAGAAGAUAUAAACUUCUCUUUCAGGUGGGCAUUUUAUAUUUUUCCUCUCGGUUUUCUUAUUCAUUUUUUUUAAAUCUAAAAUAAAUUAGGAUCUAAGAACAUUAGUUAUGGUUGGAUAUGGAAAAAAAAAAACAAACUUUUUUUUUUUUUUUUUUUUUUUUUUUUUACUAUUCGGCUUGUCAGCCUGUCUUUGUCUUGUUAAUACCUAACUGUUGUUUCUUUUUCUUUUUCUUUUUUUUUUUUAAUUUGAGCAAAGCUGUUUCCAUACAUGCACUAUAUUAAUCUUUAAGCAUAUCUGUUCAGCAGUUCAGGCCUUCUACAUGCAAUGUCUUUGAAAAUAUUGUGGCAUUUGUUGUUUUUUGGGAGGUUGCUUCACACAAUGUGAAGGAACAAUUAGCAUAACCAGUUAUGAAACUGCCUAAUCUAGGGUACGAUGCAAAAAUUUUCCAUGUUUAAAUAAGAAAAAAAAAAUCAAUCAGCUGAAGUACCCAACAAAAUAUUUGAAUGCCUGGCAAUUUAUAGAUUUCUCUAGAGCCCAUAAUAUCGAUUUGUAGUUUAUCUCAGAAACUUAAUGUCCUGGCUCCAGCCUGAUUCGGGCUACACGUGUCUUGCUAAAGAAGGAGGAUCACUUUCCCCUCUCCCUCUGGACCUAGACACACUGCAGCUGUAGCUGGUACCCAGAUACCUGCCUGCUCCAAGUUAAGAGGCCCACCAGUAAUGCUGCCAGCAGGCUGCAGUCCAGCCUGGGGAGACAGGAACAAGGAGGGGACAUGGCUCUGCAGAAGGGAUGGAGUUCACAACCUGCUCUCAGUGAAAGCCAGAACACCAGCAGGUGUGGGCCUCCAGGGACAUUUUGCCUGGCACUGCUUUGAUUGCCAUAUUUAAUAUCCUACAUGCACUUCCCCCAGCCUUUUAUGAAUCACAGGCCUGAGAAUAAUUUGGCCUCUGAUUUUCUGCUUCUGCUACUAUUGGUUACCAUUAACAUCAUUUACUGAUUUUCAUUUUAAGGUUCACUAGAAAGAUAAAUACUUUAUAUUCUCCUUGUGGAUUUUUCUAUAUUACGUAUUUAAGUUCAGGGGUUUAGGGAGUUUAGGGAAAAAUCAAGAUACUAUGAUUUGCCUAAUUAUAAUUCAUUGCAAAAAGCAAGCAAACAAACAAACAAAAACCCAAGCCCACCCAACAAAAUUAAAGGUCUGGAGGAUAAAAUUAAUCAUAGCAUUAAUACAUUUAAGACAUUCUGAAUCAAACAUGUAAGUCAGAUAAAAUGAACUGAGAACAUUUUUUGUGGCAAUAAACAGGAAGAGAUUUUAGCUGGCAAUAAUAGCUGCCUGAGGCCAUUGAAAUAAAUAAUCAUAGAAGUGUUUUUCAGACUAUUCUUUUUUAAAUAAAUAAAUAAAAUUGAAUUACGUACUUCAGCCAUUAUACGCUGGAUGUUGAAAAGAUCAACCAACCAACCAACCUUAAGUGGCCUACUGCAAGUUUCCAAGUAUCAAUAAAUAAGCAGAAAGCACAGAUUCUCUCUAAAAAUGUUUUUAAAAAGGGGCACGUGCACAAUGAUGUGUUCAUAAAUUAAGUCACCACCUGUGCAAAUUAAUUUUACUUGCUAGCAAAGGGGAAAAAUAAACAUUAAAAACAAAACAAAACAAUAUGGAGACAAUGAAGAAGAAAAAGGAUAUAACAGAGCUAUAUUAGUUUGUAACCUUGAAAACUCUUUUAUCUAAAUUUACUGUGGGUUUCCUUUCUAAACCAUGUAAUAAAGGGACAUGCAGAGUUCUAAUUAUACAGUAUCAGUGUCAGCUGCUAAUGAGAGAAAAGCCAGAUAUUUCCUCAAUCAAAAUGCAUUUUUGUAGUUUUGUGUUACUGGACAUUAUGCAAAGUUACUGGACAGUAUGCAAAGGGAAAAUUAUAGGUCAGCCAUAAGAAAUGAUGGCUGAUGAUUUUGCCAAGCCUUAUGACAUGCACGAGCUCUGGUUUUACUCCUCAAACAAUUUCCAGCUGCAAUAUAGCACACUAAUAGCCCAAUAGUAGAACUCCUAGGAACCCAGCAGUGCCAGGUUAGCAUUCUCCAUUUUGCAUUAAUAUUCAUAGUAGUUUCAAUGUAGGUGUUUUCCCUUUAUCUGGGAAGAAAGGAGUGGAACAGAAAGGUGCUGUUUAAUUUCUGCAGAAUUACUGCUCAAUAAUCAGCUCAUUUAUCUCUUUCCUGUAGUGAUUUACCAAGUAUCUCUCAUUCAGUUUAUUUGUGGGAUGAUAUUUGAUA